rnacentral:misc_RNA from 1 species
GUAGAUUCAAACCAAAAUACCUCCAUAAUCAACCAAGAACACUUCCAUAGAUCUACAAAGCCUAAAUAGAAAUCCUAAAAAUGCUGAAGAACAAAUAACCAUAAACACUGAAGAAUAAGAACCUAGAAACUCUGAAGAACAAAUCAAACAUUCAACCAAACUUGAAGAACAAAAACCCAGAAAUACAACAAAUCAAACAUUGAAUUCUAGAAAUCAAAUCCAGAGCAAAAACAUUCAAAUCCAAGUUUGAAAUCCCAAACAACAAUUCACCAACAUUAUACUUUGAAUCCCCUCACUCUGCUUCAAAUCAACAAACACAAAAACUCAAAAUACCACUCGCCACUGUCGACUCGAAGAGACGAAUUGUACAAGGGCAAUAAGAAUAAGAAUGAUGGUUCCACCAGAAGUACCCAAAAUACCCGAUGCCACUGCCAUUAGCUCCCUUUCUCUCACUUGUCAAUGUCCCUUUCAUCAUCAGCUCCCCUCUACUAGCGCCAUUCAUAGAAGAAAAAUAUGGAUUGUGAAUUUGUUGGAUCUAGAGAACAGGUGUUAUGUUUUGUCAAAGAAGGAGGAGAAGGAGAAGAUAUGGGAUAUGUUGUGGGUUUACG